rnacentral:sRNA from 1 species
CCAUUUUUCUUGUCUUGACCCCUGGAAAAUAUGCAGUGUCUGAGCAACGUGGACGUUGGAAAAUUAGUCCCGGUGGAUGGAUAAUUCAUCGUUAAACGCCCAGCAAAUAGACAACGAAUUGACUAUCCUCUCUUCUUACCCCCUAAAAUGAACGAGUUUUUUGUUUGAUUGAAACCCAUAGUAAGUGAUUGAUGAUAGUGUAAUGAUCAUUUUGUACUGAGUUUAAAGCAUAGAAAUCAUUGCACUAUUACUGGA